CCCCUGAUAGCUCAGUUGGAAGAGCGUGAGACUGUAAUUGGAUGCAAUGAACAUUUCAUGAACAUCUCAAUGUCACCUGUUCGAGCCAGGUUCAGGGGA